GCAUAGUUCGACUUUACGUGGUACAAUGAUUCGGUAUGCCUAAUAUUAUUAUAACUUUGUUUCUGUUUUUCUCUUUCCCCAUCUAUGUGUGGUAUUGUAAAUUAGUACUUACAUUUUCUAAAAUAUUCUGAUGAGAAUUUUAUUGCUUUUGCGUAUUCAUUUAUAGCUUCUAGAACCAAUUAUGAGCUUUGGACUUACUUGAUUAUCCGGCGAGGAAACGCCCCAUUAAGGCCAGGAUAUUUUCAAAGUUUAGAAGUAGGAAAGGAAGCCAACGUAUACGAGCAUGCUACUUAAGGAAGAGCCAACAUAUUCGAACAUGCUACUUAAGUCGAUGCAGUAUUCGAAGAGAGAGAGAGAGAGAGAGAGUUAUUCUCAAUAAAUCUAUAGUUUUUAUAUUUAUUAGCACGUUAAUUUAUUUUUUAUGCAUUUAUGUUGUAUUUUUCCCUUUUCUUGGUAGAAACAUUAAACUAAAUGUAAACAUAAUAUAUAUAACUUUAUUUACUUAUUUGCGAUAAUUUUUUUUUAUAUUCGAUGUUUAUAAUUGUAACGAAAAAUUAUACUUCAUAACCGCGCGAAGCGCGGACCAUUUC